ensembl:lncRNA
CUAUUGAUAUAUCAUUUUGAUAUAUUUUGAAAUGUAGUUACAUGGUGAUUCAUUAUGUUUUUCAGAAUCUCCAACCAAACUCAGUCUCUCCAGAGAUCAGUUUCUCCUGUACCCAGUCAACUGUCCAUGAAGAGCGACUUCUCUAUGGAUCAUCAAAUAUAUUUUAGUAAUGGAUCAGGGACCUUUGACCCCAGAAUCUCCAAGCAAACUCAGUCUCUCCAGAGAUCAGUCUCUCCAGUACCCAGUCAUCUGUCCAUGAAGAGCGACUUCUCUAUGGAUCAUCCUAUACAUUUUAGUAGUGGAUCACGGACCUUUGACCCCAGAAUCUCCAAGCAAACUCAGUCUCUCCAGAGACCAGUCUCUCCAGUACCCAGUCAUCUAUCCAUGAAGAGUGACUUCUCUAUGGAUCAUCCUAUACAUUUUAGUAAUGGAUCAGAGACCGUUGGAAGCAGAGGCUACUACCACACUCAGACAGCACAGUGUACUGUUCCCAGCUGUCUGUCUAUGAACAGUGACUUCUCCAUGGAUCGUCCUGUUAAUUCCAGUGGUGGAAGAUCAAUCACCUUUGACCGAAGGUACGUCACCAGAUUUUUGUUGUUGUAAUUUCAGAAUGUUCAAGAUGUCAUAUAGCUAUGUUGUUGUAAUUUGUUGUAACUGAGUUUAUUAGAGUAAUUACUGCACCCUCCUAUAUCUCUAGUGGAUGGUCUACUCUGUUAGUGGAUCAGUAUCUCUCUCUCUCUCUCUCUCCUUUAUCUCUGUAUUGGAUGGUCUACUCUGUUAGUGGAUCAGUAUCUCUCUCUCUCCUUUAUCUCUGUAGUGGAUGGUCUACUCUGUUAGAGGAUCAGUCUCUCUCUCUCCUUUAUCUCUGUAGUGGAUGGUCUACUCUGUUAGAGGAUCAGUAUCUCUCUCUCUCCUUUAUCUCUGUAGUGGAUGGUCUACUCUGUUAGAGGAUCAGUAUCUCUCUCUCCUUUAUCUCUGUAGUGGAUGGUCUACUCUGUUAGAGGAUCAGUAUCUCUCUCUCUCCUUUAUUUCUGUAGUGGAUGGCCUACUCUGUUAGAGGAUCAGUAUCUCUCUCUCCUUUAUCUCUGUAGUGGAUGGUCUACUCUGUUAGAGGAUCAGUAUCUCUCUCUCCUUUAUCUCUGUAGUGGAUGGUCUACUCUGUUAGAGGAUCAGUAUCUCUCUCUCCUUUAUCUCUGUAGUGGAUGGUCUACUCUGUUAGAGGAUCAGUAUCUCUCUCUCCUUUAUCUCUGUAGUGGAUGGUCUACUCUGUUAGAGGAUCAGUAUCUCUCUCCUUUAUCUCUGUAGUGGAUGGUCUACUCUGUUAGAGGAUCAGUAUCUCUCUCUCCUUUAUCUCUGUAGUGGAUGG